UCAAAAUAAAUAUCUCCUCUCCUUGGGAGCUUUCCCUGACUUUCUUCCUGUCUCAUUGUGUUUUUUUAAGCUCCACAGUGGUUUAUAUGUACAUCCUUUGUGCUGUUUAUCAUGGU